rnacentral:rRNA from 1 species
UACGGAGGGUGCAAGCGUUAUCCGGAUUUACUGGGUUUAAAGGGUGCGUAGGCGGCCGAAUAAGUCAGUCGUGAAAUGCCUCCGCUUAACGGAGUGAAGUGCGAUUGAUACUGUUUGGCUUGAAUCAGGUUGAGGUAGGCGGAAUGUGGCAUGUAGCGGUGAAAUGCUUAGAUAUGCCAUAGAACACCGAUUGCGAAGGCAGCUUGCUGGGCCUGUAUUGACGCUGAGGCACGAAAGCGUGGGGAGCAAACAGG